UUAUCAAGAAUUUAAUUGCCGAACAAAUAAACUUGAUUCAACACAAGAUGUAUUUCGUAGUUUUUUGGGAUAAAACGUCUGCAAUCGUACCUGCAUCAUGGGUAGAUUCAGAAUCUCGAACUUUCAAGUGGCCGAAAACAAAAAAUCCUACCUUACUAAUUAUUCGAGCUGAUAACCCUAAAGAUAAUUGGAUCACUUAUAAUUAUGUUCAACUCUGCGGUCCAUUUGGCAUAUGACGAAGCGCGUGAAUUCGAAUUAGAUGCCCU